rnacentral:rRNA from 1 species
AAUACUUGCACAAUGGGGGAAACCCUGAUGCAGCCAUGCCGCGUGUGUGAAGAAGGCCUUCGGGUUGUAAAGCACUUUCAGUAGGGAGGAAGGUAGUGUAGUUAACACCUGCAUUAUUUGACGUUACCUACAGAAGAAGCACCGGCUAACUCCGUGCCAGCAGCCGCGGUAAUACGGAGGGUGCGAGCGUUAAUCGGAAUUACUGGGCGUAAAGCGCAUGCAGGCGGCCUGUUAAGUCAGAUGUGAAAGCCCGGGGCUUAACCUCGGAAUUGCAUUUGAAACUGGCAGGCUAGAGUCUUGUAGAGGGGGUAGAAUUUCAGGUGUAGCGGUGAAAUGCGUAGAGAUCUGAAGGAAUACCAGUGGCGAAGGCGGCCCCCUGGACAAAGACUGACGCUCAGAUGCGAAAGCGUGGGGAGCAAACAGGAUUAGAUACCCUGGUAG